rnacentral:rRNA from 1 species
UUGGCUCAGGAUGAACGCUGGCGGCGUGCCUAACACAUGCAAGUCGAGCGGGAAAUGGCAAUCAGAAACUUCGGUUGACGAGAGUCAUGGAGAGCGGCGGACGGGUGAGUAACGCGUGGGCAACCUGCCCCUCACAGGGAGAUAGCCGAGGGAAACUUCGAGUAAUAUCCCAUGAUGCCUCAUGAUCACAUGAUCGAGAGGCCAAAGAUUUAUCGGUGAGGGAUGGGCCCGCGUCCGAUUAGCCAGUUGGCAGGGUAGCGGCCUACCAAAGCGACGAUCGGUAGCCGGCCUGAGAGGGCGGACGGCCACAUUGGAACUGAGACACGGUCCAGACUCCUACGGGAGGCAGCAGUGGGGAAUA